UAAGACGGAGGAUGCAAGUGUUAUCCGGAAUCACUGGGCGUAAAGCGUCUGUAGGUGGUUUAAAAAGUCCACUGUUAAAAAUUGAAGCUCAACCUCAAAGAUGCCGUGGAAACUUUUAAACUUGAGUAUGGUAGGGGUAGAGGGAAUUUCCAGUGGAGCGGUGAAAUGCGUAGAUAUUGGAAAGACCACCAAUGGCGAAGGCACUCUACUGGGCCAUUACUGACACUGAGAGACGAAAGCUAGGGGAGCAAAUGGGA
rnacentral:rRNA from 1 species